AUUGAACGCUGGCGGCAUGCCUAACACAUGCAAGUCGAACGGCAGCACGGUACAUAGCAAUAUGUAUGGGUGGCGAGUGGCGGACGGGUGAGUAGAAAGUAGGGAUCUGCCUAUUGGAGGGGGAAUAACUUGUGGAAACGCGAGCUAAUACCCCGUAAGCUCUACGGAGGAAAGCAUGGGACCUGUAAGGGCCAUGCGCCAAGAGAUGAACCUACGUCCGGAUAGCUAGUUGGUUGGGUAAAAGCUGACCAAGGCGAAGAUCCGUAGCUGGUCUGAGAGGAUGAUCAGCCACACUGGGACUGAGACACGGCCCAGACUCCUACGGGAGGCAGCAGUGGGGAAUAUUGGACAAUGGGGCAACCCUGAUCCAGCGAUGCCGCGUGUGCGAAGAAGGCCU
rnacentral:rRNA from 1 species